CAACCUCAACUCAUAUGGGACUACCCCCUGAAUUUAAGCAUAUUAAUUAGGGGAGGAAAAGAAACUAACAAGGAUUUUCUUAGUAGCGGCGAGCGAAAAGAAAUCAGUUCAGCACUAAGUCACUUUGUCUAUAUGGCAAAUGUGAGAUGCAGUGUAUGGAGCGUCAUAUUCUAGUAUGAGAAAUUAACGAUUUAAGUCCUUCUUAAAUGAGGCCAUUUACCCAUAGAGGGUGCCAGGCCCGUAUAACGUUAAUGAUUACUAGAUGAUGUUUCCAAAGAGUCGUGUUGCUUGAUAGUGCAGCACUAAGUGGGUGGUAAACUCCAUCUAAAACUAAAUAUAACCAUGAGACCGAUAGUAAACAAGUACCGUGAGGGAAAGUUGAAAAGAACUCUGAAUAGAGAGUUAAACAGUACGUGAAACUGCUUAGAGGUUAAGCCCGAUGAACCUGAAUAUCCGUUAUGGAAAAUUCAUCAUUAGAAUUGUAAUAUUUAAACAAUAUUAUGAUAAUAGUGUGCAUUUUUUCCAUAUAAGGACAUUGUAAUCUAUUAGCAUACCAAAUUUAUCAUAAAAUAUAACUUAUAGUUUAUUCAAAUUAAUUUGCUUGCAUUUUAACACAGAAUAAAUGUUAUUAAUUUGAUAAAGUGCUGAUAGAUUUAUAUGAAUACAGUGCGUUAAUUUUUCGGAAUUAUAUAAUGGCAUAAUUAUCAUUGAUUUUUGUGUUUAUUAUAUGCACUUGUAGGAUUAACAAUGCGAAAGAUUCAGGAUACCUUCGGGACCCGUCUUGAAACACGGACCAAGGAGUCUAACAUAUGUGCAAGUUAUUGGGAUAUAAACCUAAUAGCGUAAUUAACUUGACUAAUAAUGGGAUUAGUUUUUUAACUAUUUAUAGCUAAUUAACACAAUCCCGGGGCGUUCUAUAUAGUUAUGUAUAAUGAUAUUUAUAUUAUUUAUGCCUCUAACUGGAACGUACCUUGAGCAUAUAUGCUGUGACCCGAAAGAUGGUGAACUAUACUUGAUCAGGUUGAAGUCAGGGGAAACCCUGAUGGAAGACCGAAACAGUUCUGACGUGCAAAUCGAUUGUCAGAAUUGAGUAUAGGGGCGAAAGACCAAUCGAACCAUCUAGUAGCUGGUUCCUUCCGAAGUUUCCCUCAGGAUAGCUGGUGCAUUUUAAUAUUAUAUAAAAUAAUCUUAUCUGGUAAAGCGAAUGAUUAGAGGCCUUAGGGUCGAAACGAUCUUAACCUAUUCUCAAACUUUAAAUGGGUAAGAACCUUAACUUUCUUGAUAUGAAGUUCAAGGUUAUGAUAUAAUGUGCCCAGUGGGCCACUUUUGGUAAGCAGAACUGGCGCUGUGGGAUGAACCAAACGUAAUGUUACGGUGCCCAAAUUAACAACUCAUGCAGAUACCAUGAAAGGCGUUGGUUGCUUAAAACAGCAGGACGGUGAUCAUGGAAGUCGAAAUCCGCUAAGGAGUGUGUAACAACUCACCUGCCGAAGCAACUAGCCCUUAAAAUGGAUGGCGCUUAAGUUGUAUACCUAUACAUUACCGCUAAAGUAGAUGAUUUAUAUUACUUGUAAUAUAAAUUUUGAAACUUUAGUGAGUAGGAAGGUACAAUGGUAUGCGUAGAAGUGUUUGGCGUAAGCCUGCAUGGAGCUGCCAUUGGUACAGAUCUUGGUGGUAGUAGCAAAUAAUCGAAUGAGACCUUGGAGGACUGAAGUGGAGAAGGGUUUCGUGUGAACAGUGGUUGAUCACGAGUUAGUCGGUCCUAAGUUCAAGGCGAAAGCCGAAAAUUUUCAAGUAAAAUACAAAUGCCAAACAAAUAUAUAUAUUAUAUAAAAUCUAGCUAAAUUAAUAUACUUGAAUAAUUUUGAACGAAAGGGAAUACGGUUCCAAUUCCGUAACCUGUUGAGUAUCCGUUUGUUAUUAAAUAUGGGCCUCGUGCUCAUCCUGGCAACAGGAACGACCAUAAAGAAGCCGUCGAGAGAUAUCGGAAGAGUUUUCUUUUCUGUUUUAUAGCCGUACUACCAUGGAAGUCUUUCGCAGAGAGAUAUGGUAGAUGGGCUAGAAGAGCAUGACAUAUACUGUUGUGUCGAUAUUUUCUCCUCGGACCUUGAAAAUUUAUGGUGGGGACACGCAAACUUCUCAACAGGCCGUACCAAUAUCCGCAGCUGGUCUCCAAGGUGAAGAGUCUCUAGUCGAUAGAAUAAUGUAGGUAAGGGAAGUCGGCAAAUUAGAUCCGUAACUUCGGGAUAAGGAUUGGCUCUGAAGAUUGAGAUAGUCGGGCUUGAUUGGGAAACAAUAACAUGGUUUAUGUGCUCGUUCUGGGUAAAUAGAGUUUCUAGCAUUUAUGUUAGUUACUUGUUCCCCGGAUAGUUUAGUUACGUAGCCAAUUGUGGAACUUUCUUGCUAAAAUUUUUAAGAAUACUAAUUGGGUUAAACCAAUUAGUUCUUAUUAAUUAUAACGAUUAUCAAUUAACAAUCAAUUCAGAACUGGCACGGACUUGGGGAAUCCGACUGUCUAAUUAAAACAAAGCAUUGUGAUGGCCCUAGCGGGUGUUGACACAAUGUGAUUUCUGCCCAGUGCUCUGAAUGUCAAAGUGAAGAAAUUCAAGUAAGCGCGGGUCAACGGCGGGAGUAACUAUGACUCUCUUAAGGUAGCCAAAUGCCUCGUCAUCUAAUUAGUGACGCGCAUGAAUGGAUUAACGAGAUUCCUACUGUCCCUAUCUACUAUCUAGCGAAACCACAGCCAAGGGAACGGGCUUGGAAUAAUUAGCGGGGAAAGAAGACCCUUUUGAGCUUGACUCUAAUCUGGCAGUGUAAGGAGACAUAAGAGGUGUAGAAUAAGUGGGAGAUAUUAGACCUCGGUUUGGUAUCGCCAAUGAAAUACCACUACUCUUAUUGUUUCCUUACUUACUUGAUUAAAUGGAACGUGUAUCAUUUCCUAGCCAUUAUACGGAUAUAUUUAUUAUAUCUUAUGGUAUUGGGUUUUGAUGCAAGCUUCUUGAUCAAAGUAUCACGAGUUUGUUAUAUAAUCGCAAACAAAUUCUUUAAUAAAACGGUGCAUUUAUGUAUUUUUGAUUUGAAAAUUUGGUAUAACUCCAAUUACUCAGGUAUGAUCCAAUUCAAGGACAUUGCCAGGUAGGGAGUUUGACUGGGGCGGUACAUCUCUCAAAUAAUAACGGAGGUGUCCCAAGGCCAGCUCAGUGCGGACAGAAACCACACAUAGAGCAAAAGGGCAAAUGCUGACUUGAUCUCGGUGUUCAGUACACACAGGGACAGCAAAAGCUCGGCCUAUCGAUCCUUUUGGUUUAAAGAGUUUUUAACAAGAGGUGUCAGAAAAGUUACCAUAGGGAUAACUGGCUUGUGGCGGCCAAGCGUUCAUAGCGACGUCGCUUUUUGAUCCUUCGAUGUCGGCUCUUCCUAUCAUUGUGAAGCAAAAUUCACCAAGCGUUGGAUUGUUCACCCAUGCAAGGGAACGUGAGCUGGGUUUAGACCGUCGUGAGACAGGUUAGUUUUACCCUACUAAUGACAAAACGUUGUUGCGACAGCAUUCCUGCGUAGUACGAGAGGAACCGCAGGUACGGACCAAUGGCACAAUACUUGUUCGAGCGAACAGUGGUAUGACGCUACGUCCGUUGGAUUAUGCCUGAACGCCUCUAAGGUCGUAUCCGUGCUGGACUGCAAUGAUAAAUAAGGGGCAAUUUGCAUUGUAUGGCUUCUAAACCAUUUAAAGUUUAUAAUUUACUUUUUAAACGACAAUGGAUGUGAUGCCAAUGUAAUUUGUAACAUAGUAAAUUGGGAGGAUCUUUGAUCACCUGAUGCCGCGCUAGUUACAUAUAAAAGCAUUAUUUAAUACAAUGACAAAGCCUAGAAUCAAUUGUAAACGACUUUUGUAACAGGCAAGGUGUUGUAAGUGGUUGAGCAGCUGCCAUACUGCGAUCCACUGAAGCUUAUCCUUUGCUUGAUGAUUCGA